GGAACAACACCCCGUCUGUCAUCUCUGUCGGCUCCUGGUUCAGACGCCGGACUCACAGAUGCAGACUGGUCCGCACAUUGUGACACACACAGCGCUCAUUGUGUUGGAGGGGAGGGAACAACACACGGUGUGUAGUUCAGUUCAUUAAAACAUUAAAACAUCCGCAUCUGCACACAUCUGUAACAAUGACUCAGGUGUCAGAAUCGGCUUCAUCAGUUCCAAGAAUGUGGAAAUAACCAAGAAAUGUGUCUCUCUGUGUUCAAGGGAAGAGUGGUACGAACAUUAGAUU